UGGGGAAUUUUGGACAAUGGGGGUAACCCUGAUCCAGCAAUGCCGCGUGAGUGAAGAAGGCCUUCGGGUUGUAAAGCUCUUUUGUCAGGGAAGAAACGGUGAUCGCUAAUAUCGGUUGCUAAUGACGGUACCUGAAGAAUAAGCACCGGCUAACUACGUGCCAGCAGCCGCGGUAAUACGUAGGGUGCAAGCGUUAAUCGGAAUUACUGGGCGUAAAGCGUGCGCAGGCGGUUAUAUAAGUCAGAUGUGAAAUCCCCGGGCUCAACCUGGGAACUGCAUUUGAGACUGGAUGGCUAGAGUGUGUCAGAGGGGGGUAGAAUUCCACGUGUAGCAGUGAAAUGCGUAGAUAUGUGGAGGAAUACCGAUGGCGAAGGCAGCCCCCUGGGAUAACACUGACGCUCAUGCACGAAAGCGUGGGGAGCAAACA
rnacentral:rRNA from 1 species